GACAGAGGGUGCAAACGUUGCUCGGAAUCACUGGGGCGUAAAGAGCUCGUAGGCGGUUCGUCACGUCGGCUGUGAAAUCCCGAGGCUCAACCUCGGGUCUGCAGUCGAUACGGGCGGACUUGAGUACUGCAGGGGAGACUGGAAUUCCUGGUGUAGCGGUGAAAAUGCGCAGAUAUCAGGAGGAACACCGGUGGCGAAGGCGGGUCUCUGGGCAGUAACUGACGCUGGAGGAGCGAAAAGCGUGGGGAGCGAACAGG
rnacentral:rRNA from 1 species